ensembl:snRNA U4 U4 spliceosomal RNA
AGCUUUACACAGUGGCAGUAUCGUAGCCACCGAGGUUUAUCCGAGGUGCGAUUAUUGCUAGCUGAAAACUUUCCCAAUGUUUUUGAGUAGAGUUGACAUACAAUGUUAUAUUAGUUUCAGGUAUAAACAUAGUGAUUCGACACCUCGGUACGUUU